GGACAAAGGGAGCAUUUUUUUCCAAGUUCAUAUCUCUUUACUGUUAACAUCAAGCUGCACAGCUACCCAACGAAAAAUAAUAAGUCUGGUUUAAUCACCACCACUGAGAAGAAACUACAAGUUCAGGGUAUGAACCAGGACAUUUCUGGCAAACGAUGAGAGAAAAAACGUUUUUUGUCAGAUUGGUUCUUUUUAAUGGAUGAGAGACUGUCUACGAGAAACAGCAAACACUGGUUUUGGUUUAUGUGGCUUUGACUCCUAAAAGUUGCUUUAUAUAAAUCAUAUAUAUACCUAUGUUAUAAAUACAUGAUGCUUUCAGCAAAAUAUCACACAAUGUUCUAGCAAAAUAUAUGAUCUGGGACUCUAGUCACACAGUUCAUGGCCCCUGAACCAGAACCUUCAUCCAGCAACUGUUAACAGUUCUUGUUGGAAACAAAGAAAACAUUACAAAACGGGCAAAAUGACCACUCGGACGCCUACACAGAGACACACAUGUGAGACACCACCGCCAGUUUAGGGAUAUGUUUUAAUUCCUUUUGUCUGACAGUCGGUCCCUGACUCCAGGCUCCACCUGUACUACCUGCAGCAUUAUGACGGUUUCCUGGUUCUGCUCAGAUCCUGGUUCAGGUCCAGAAAAGUCCCUAAACCUGCACAGAAGAGCUUUUGUUGGCUUAACCACAGGCAAGAGUCUGGAUGUGAACCUGGUUUCUGGUGUCUGCACUUCCUCCAUCCACUCUUUCAGGUGUAGCUCACAAAUGCAGAGUUUCAUUUACUGAGAACAUUUCGAACAGAAUCUGACAAAAGAUCGAAUUCAAACACAAAGUUCCUUGUUGAUGCGUGAACCUUUUUCUUUACCAUCACCAAUGCUUGUUUUGGUUUUUUGUUUGUUUCUGAAAAUAAUACGGACAUGUUUUAGAGUACAACUGGAAAGUUUUAAUCAUUACACAAUAAUCUUACUGUUAUCUGGGCUAAGAUUAGGCAUUAACACAUGGAUGGUGUGAAAGGAGUUUUUGGCCUUGGCAGAGGCAUGCGGUCUCAUACGCUCAUGAAACUGUUUCACUGCAUUUUUUAACUAAAUAAUUAAUUAAUAAUAAUUAACAGAUUCCUGAAUUCCUUCAUUCCCUGAUCAGUGGAACGAGCUGUUAUUUUUCCUCAAACUUUAUCAGGAACAAACCACAGAGCCCUUGUGUUCACACACCCACAUAUGUUCCUCCAGCAGGACUGCAGUGUCCCUCAGAAACAGCCACCGUGGGGAUCUGUCACGUACCCCGCAGCUCGCCCAGUUUCCCAGAAGUCCUGGUCCUACAACCUGAUCCACAGCGGUACUCGCUGUUCUGUUUGUUCUUUUGUGCAGCGGGUGUCUGAAAGAGCUCUGCUGGCGAGAGUGUCGAGGCGUUGGCAAGUUGUUUCUAUCCGUGUCCUUGGAGGAUUUCCAGAGUCACGUCCUGAGAAAAAAGCCGCUGAGUGAGAGUGAAAUAAAUACCUCAGCUCUGCUCCACGCUGCAGAAACACCUGAUUCAUAGCUGCAAACGCUUUCUGCUGAGUUCCACUUGCUGUUCAACUGCCAGGAUAUUUUGAGCUGUGCUUUGUUAUUGUGAGCAGCUUGACAGCUGAUAACAGAGGGAAAUGUUGGGAGGGGGAGCUGGUUUCAUGCUGUGAUGUCUUUUAGCUCUCAGACUCAAACAAAAUUAAAAUAAGACCAGGAGAUCAGCUCUUGAGUCUUGAGUCAAAGGGCCACCACAUACAGCCGAGGGUCUCAGAAGAAACUAUACCGUGCACAGACUUAAAGUAACUGAUUGUUUUCUUCAUCUUUGUUGUUUUUUGGUGAAAUUCUGGAUAACUUUGAUCCCAUCAUCCAAUUUGUUUGCCCCCUAAAGAGCGUUUUCAUGUCAAAGAGCAGAGAAGAAAAGCGCGCCUGUUAAUGCGCUGAUCUAUCCUCGGUAUACCUCAUGGUUGUGUGUGACUGCAGAUGCGGAAGCCUGACUAAUGAAAAAUUCACCACGUCAUCGCAGUGCUGAAAAAGCUGAGCCCAGCUUAACACUUUCCGUGUUAGCCACGUCAAAGAACAAACAAGUUUGCCUGACCCUGAUCCCCUUGCCCUUGCAUAACACGAUUAAUUUGAUAUGUCCGCUCAGAUGUGUAGUCGUAUGAUCCCAUUCAUCUUCAGGUUCCCCGCGAGCUGCAGAUUCUUGGUUGAUGGCUAAAGGACAGCGACAGGAGAAACCACAUUUACAGAAACACUGAAGGAGCGGUUGAAAAAAUGCAGAAGCACUUGGAGCCGCUGAUCUGAGGAUGGCUCAGAGUGACGACGGCACUUUGAAAGGAGCGUUAACCUGGCAUGAUUUUGACAGCAGGAGAAGCCAGAAAAUCCCACCGCACACUCGGAGAACAAGUCCACACACAGCUGGGAUGAGCUUUGACUGCAGGGGCGAGAGGCUUAAACAUUAAAAGAAGUGACAAGUUGAAUUUACUCUAAAGUCUAAAUUCUCACAGUUCAAAUCUCUGAUAGAAUAAGAGCUGGAAAGUACAAAUUGCAAUUUUUGCUGUUUAGCUAACAUCACCAACGAGUGCAUGCUGAAGAUUUUAUUUUAUUUCCUUCGGUUUUGGCUCCAAAGAGCCAAAUUCUACAUAAUUUACUAUUUCAGCUCACACUAACUUUGUUCCCAUUUCCAUCAAACUUCCCUUUUUAUGCUGUCAUUGAUUUCAUUUGUAUAUUGCAUUGGGUAACACUAAUUUCCAGACAACUGUGCUCAUGAUUUCUGAAAAAGAAGUGAUACAUUUCCAAGAAAGUACUAUUUAAUAGCUAAAAGUUGAAAGGGAAAGGAAAAGCGUUUGUCAGCGAUGAACCUUAUCAAGAGUUUCUCUUCUUCUUUUUAGGAUACUCUGAUGGACGCUGACGUGAAUUCAUCCAUUAUUUCUACAACUUUAAAUUACACAAUCAGUGUCAGGGCUGCAGCCAAGGGACCUCAUUCAAGGACUGAACAUGGACACACAAGAAUAAAUGUGUUGCUGCAAGACAUCAAAUAAUUUGGUUUGUUAUUUGUACGAGACGGGGCUGGACUCGGAGCUCUAGAACCUGUUGGACCUGUAAACGUUUUAAAGACAGCACGAUGGCACGCGUCAGAGAUCUCAGCUGCAUGUUCCUGAUCUGGAGACUUGAUCCAUGAUGUGGGUCAAUAUCUGCUGAGCAGCAGCUAUAAUGAUUUUCUGUAAAGAACAGCUGCAAAAACGAAGCAGAAGAAUUACAGCUGUCACAGGCGAUGAGCUGGGAAGGACAGGACAUGAUCCAGAGAAGAGUCUAACAGGAGAGCAGAGUCUGAAGCCUCUUUCUUUACAAAAACCCACUAACACUGACUAACAUCUGGACUGUGUCUCUAGUGGGAAAGGACGCAAUAUGAAUUCAUUCCUGGGUCAUGUGACCCUGCAGUGGUCAUGGGCAUUUAUUGUUUUGGAUUAAUGAUUAUAUGCAGGAGUCAAACUAUUUCCCUCAUUUUGCUCUAAAACAGAUGUUAGAAACGAGGGUCAUCUUACAAUCAGGUCAGUGUGUGGUUAGUUGCUGUGAUUUUACAGGGAAAAGUGAGCAAACGAGGAAGCUCUGGUGUUACUCAAACUACCAUCUUUCUUAACCAUAGUUAUGACUCAGUUUAUGAACCAAAUAAAUCCCUGUUUGUGGACUCCUAAAUGAGAUGCUGGGUGACUUUGAGAAAUGUUUUAAUGUUCUAACAGACAUAAAGGUGUGUAGGAAGUUGGGCAUUAAAAGUGGUCAAAGAUAAAACCUAAAAGUCUGAAACCUUAUUCUCUGGAGGCCCAGAGAGGCAGAACAUGAACAUUUCAGACAACACAAGAAGAUUUCACAUUGUCAAACAGGUAGAAAUAAUAUUUAUUGCUGGUUAACAGAACCAUAGCUUCAUGGUGGUCGGGUAAAAUCCUCAUUAUUACAGCAGUGUCCUGCAAAUUUUAAAAAGGAAUUUAACGGCAUAGAAGAGAAAAAAGGUAUGGAAGCAGUAAUAUGUACUGGUCAAUAUGCUUUCAACAUAUCAUGGCAUUAAAAGGUCCUUUGGAAACUUAAAGACAUGUUUUAAACAUUGGAUGAAGCAUGAGUAAGACAUGUUAAAAACUUGAUUUAGCAAAUGAAGAAUGUGUCAUUUAUAUGUCAACUUUUACCUUAGAAAUCUUUAUAAUGCUGCUGCAUAACCUUUGGACAGACAUCAACCAUGCAUGCCAUUUCCAAUCAGGUUUCAAUUCAAUUCAAUUUUAUUUAUAUAGCGCCAAAUCACAACAACAGUCGCCUCAAGGCGCUUUAUAUUGUAAGGUAGAUCGUAGAAUAAUAGAUACAGAGAAAACCCCAA